rnacentral:rRNA from 1 species
GCUAGCAGCUAGCUCUCUGCAACUCUCACAUGGUCGCCCACUGAAGCUAAGCAGGGCUGCGCCCGGUCAGUACCUGGAUGGGAGACCACAUGGGAAAGCUAGGUUGCUGCCGGAA